rnacentral:miRNA from 1 species
UGUGUGUUCGGUUAUGUACUUU